rnacentral:rRNA from 1 species
AUGAACGCUGGCGGCGUGCCUAAUACAUGCAAGUCGAGCGAACGGACGAGAAGCUUGCUUCUCUGAUGUUAGCGGCGGACGGGUGAGUAACACGUGGAUAACCUACCUAUAAGACUGGGAUAACUUCGGGAAACCGUAGCUAAUACCGGAUAAUAUUUUGAACCGCAUGGUUCAAAAGUGAAAGACGGUCUUGCUGUCACUUAUAGAUGGAUCCGCGCUGCAUUAGCUAGUUGGUAAGGUAGCGGCUUACCAAGGCAACGAUGCAUAGCCGACCUGAGAGGGUGAUCGGCCACACUGGAACUGAGACACGGUCCAGACUCCUACGGGAGGCAGCAGUAGGGAAUCUUCCGCAAUGGGCGAAAGCCUGACGGAGCAACGCCGCGUGAGUGAUGAAGGUCUUCGGAUCGUAAAACUCUGUUAUUAGGGAAGAACAUAUGUGUAAGUAACUGUGCACAUCUUGACGGUACCUAACCAGAAAGCCACGGCUAACUACGUG